CCUACGGGAGGCAGCAGUGGGGAAUCUUGCGCAAUGGGCGAAAGCCUGACGCAGCCAUGCCGCGUGUAUGAUGAAGGUCUUAGGAUUGUAAAAUACUUUCACCGGUGAAGAUAAUGACUGUAGCCGGAGAAGAAGCCCCGGCUAACUUCGUGCCAGCAGCCGCGGUAAUACGAAGGGGGCUAGCGUUGCUCGGAAUUACUGGGCGUAAAGGGAGCGUAGGCGGACAUUUAAGUCAGGGGUGAAAUCCCAGAGCUCAACUCUGGAACUGCCUUUGAUACUGGGUGUCUUGAGUGUGAUAGAGGUAUGUGGAACUCCGAGUGUAGAGGUGAAAUUCGUAGAUAUUCGGAAGAACACCAGUGGCGAAGGCGACAUACUGGAUCAUUACUGACGCUGAGGCUCGAAAGCGUGGGGAGCAAACAGGAUUAGAUACCCUGGUAGUCCACGCCGUAAACGAUGAUUGCUAGUUGUCGGGAUGUUUACAUCUCGGUGACGCAGCUAACGCAUUAAGCAAUCCGCCUGGGGAUACGGUCGCAAGNUUAAAACUCAAAGAGAGUAGACGUGNGAGAGACGACGACGACGACGACGGAGGAGGAGG
rnacentral:rRNA from 1 species